ACUAACCCAACGAACACAUAACACAAACAUGAUAAUAUAGUCAGGUCAAGGCCAGAGCCGAAGGCCCCAUUUCCCAGGCAAAUGGUAGACACUCAGACAAUGCACCAGUCAUCCUCAAGAACGGGAGAGCCACAUUAAUUUAUCACACAGGAGACACUUCGAAGCUCUCCCCCGUUAGGAGGAACACAAGGGAGACACAUGCAUAUAUCAGGGCCUGGGAGCCAAGGUCAAGCAAAAACACACAGAACCACACACACCUCAAACGCACACACCUCAUCGAGAGGAGGAUACAGCAUAAGACGGUAUCACACAGGGACUCUUGAUCUUCUUCUGAAGCAGACCUUCCACGGAGGCGAAGCUCUGGACGAACCAUCAGCGCUGAUUAGGGACUUAGACAUAUUCGAUUUCUCACGCUUUAUGACUCUGUAUAACCGUUGCCACUUUACUUAAUAAAUCCAAGGUCCUCGUGCCGACAGACUUUAUUACCUCUCCGUCUCAUUUUAUCUGGUCCAGUAACUAGACAGACCGUUUUUCCCCUCAAUUUGGUGACCCCGACGUGAUCUUUCGUUGAAUUGAACCGCAAAUGGGAAACGAGAGACGGAGAGCGGCACGACCUCGGGACCCCGGAGCACCGGACCGAUUCCUGCAGUCUCACCUCGCGCGCGCCCAACAAAAGGUAGGCAGAACCUGUUGAUAAAAUCCAAACUCUGCAUAGUUAUAUAGGAACCACAUUAGGAGGUGAGACUGUGAGAGCGGUUCGCUACGGGAUAUCUCGUGGGGACGAAUAGAGCUGCAUCCCAGUAUUUCCCCAUAAACCCGAUUGACCCUGAACGCGUGACACAUCGAAUAUCGGCUCGUUGCAUGGUGAAAGAAUACCCUCGAGACCAUAGGGCCUAUAAAAAUCGGUCAUAGUGAUACAAGACUACCGAUGGCCGAGUAACGGAUGCCUGGGCCAUGAGUGGAACCCAGAGGGAUGCCUGGGCCGUGAGUGGAACCCAGAGGGAAAGAGAAAAAAAAAACUAGGCUCGUUGCAUGGUGAAGGAAAUACCCUCGAGACCCUAGGGCCUAUAAGAAUCGGUCAUAGUGAUACAAGACUACCGAUGGCCGAGUAACGGAUGCCUGGGCCAUGAGUGGAACCCAGAGGGAUGCCUGGGCCGUGAGUGGAACCCAGAGGGAAAGAGAAAAAAAAAACUAGGCUUGUUGCAUGGUGAAGGAAAUACCCUCGAGACCCUAGGGCCUAUAAGAAUCGGUCAUAGUGAUACAAGACUACCGAUGGCCGAGUAAUGGAUGCCUGGGCCAUGAGUGGAACCCAGAGGGAUGCCUGGGCCGUGAGUGGAACCCAGAGGGAAAGAGAAGAAAAAAAUAAAAAAACUAGGCUCGUUGCAUGGUGAAGGAAAUACCCUCGAGACCCUAGGGCCUAUAAGAAUCGGUCAUAGUGAUACAAGACUACCGAUGGCCAAGUAAUGAAUGUGUAUUAAAUAAUUCUAUGUGGUAAGAAGGUUAGAGUCCUUUAUCAGGGUUAGAGUCCCUUUGCAGAGGAAACAUGUGUGUAUGCGCGAGUGAAAGAGAGACAGAGAGACA